rnacentral:rRNA from 1 species
UACGGAGGGUGCAAGCGUUAUCCGGAUUCACUGGGUUUAAAGGGUGCGUAGGUGGAUUAGUAAGUCAGUGGUGAAAUCUCCGGGCUUAACCCGGAAACUGCCAUUGAUACUAUUAGUCUUGAAUACCGUGGAGGUCAGCGGAAUAUGUCAUGUAGCGGUGAAAUGCUUAGAUAUGACAUAGAACACCAAUUGCGAAGGCAGCUGGCUACACGAGCAUUGACACUCAGGCACGAAAGCGUGGGGAUCAAACAG